UACGAAGGGGGCUAGCGUUGCUCGGAAUCACUGGGCGUAAAGCGCACGUAGGCGGACUUUUAAGUCAGGGGUGAAAUCCUGGAGCUCAACUCCAGAACUGCCUUUGAUACUGGAAGUCUUGAGUCCGGAAGAGGUAAGUGGAACUGCGAGUGGUAGAGGUGAAAUUCGUAGAUAUUCGCAAGAACACCAGUGGCGAAGGCGGCUUACUGGUCCGGUACUGACGCUGAGGUGCGAAAGCGUGGG
rnacentral:rRNA from 1 species